rnacentral:rRNA from 1 species
AUUGAACGCUGGCGGCAGGCCUAACACAUGCAAGUCGAGGGACCGGCGCACGGGUGAGUAACACGUAUCCAACCUGCCCUUUACUCGGGGAUAGCCUUUCGAAAGAAAGAUUAAUACCCGAUAUAAAGGAUGGGGAUGCGUUCCAUUCGGUUGUUGGUGAGGUACCGGCUCACCAAGCCUUCGAUGGAUCGGGGUUCGGAGAGGAAGGGACCCCACAUUGGAACUGAGACACGGUCCAAACUAGUACGGGAGGAAGAAGUGAGGAAUAUUGGGCAAUGGGCGCUAGCCUGAACCAGCCAAGUAGCGUGAAGGAUGAAGGCUUAUGGGUCGUAAACUUCUGUUAUAUAAGAAUAUGUAUUAUAUGAAUAAGGAUCGGCUAACUCCGUGCCAGCAGCCGCGGUAAUUC